ACGUGGCGGCAGGCCUAACAUGCAAUUCGAGCGCGAAAACACUUCGGUGUGAGUAAAGCGGCGGACGGGUGAGUAACGCGUAGGAAUCUACCUAGUAGUGGGGGACAACUCGGGGAAACUCGAGCUAAUACCGCAUACGCCCUACGGGGGAAGGCGGGGGACCUUCGGGCCUCAUGCUAUUAGAUGAGCCUGCGUUGGAUUAGCUAGUUGGUGGGGUAAAGGCCUACCAAGGCGACGAUCCAUAGCUGGUCUGAGAGGAUGAUCAGCCACACCGGGACUGAGACACGGACCGGACUCCUACGGGAGGCAGCAGUGGGGAAUAUUGCGCAAUGGGCGAAAGCCUGACGCAGCCAUGCCGCGUGUGUGAAGAAGGCCUUCGGGUUGUAAAGCACUUUCAAUUGGGAGGAAAGGUUCACGGUUAAUAACCGUGAGCUGUGACGUUACCUUUAGAAGAAGCACCGGCUAACUCCGUGCCAGCAGCCGCGGUAAUACGGAGGGUGCGAGCGUUAAUCGGAAUUACUGGGCGUAAAGCGCGCGUAGGUGGUCUGUUAAGUCGGAUGUGAAACCCCGGGGUCAAACUGAGAAAUGCACUCGAUACUGGCAGACUACAGUGCGGGAGACGGAGGUAGAAUCCACGUGUAGCGGUGCAAUGCGUAGAUAUGUGGAGGAAUACAAUGGGGAAAGCGGACUCCUGGCUACAAACUGACCUGAAGUGCAAAGCUUGGAACAACAGAUUAAUACC
rnacentral:rRNA from 1 species